rnacentral:tRNA from 2 species
GGCAAUUUGUCCGAGUGGUUUAAGGAGUUUGACUUGAAUUUCUAUUCAGCUAUCAAAUGCGGUUUCCGCGCGUAGGUUCGAGUCCUGCAAUUGUCG